rnacentral:rRNA from 1 species
UACGUAGGGUGCAGGCGUUAAUCGGAAUUACUGGGCGUAAAGCGUGCGCAGGCGGUUUUGUAAGCCAGAUGUGAAAGCCCCGGGCUCAACCUGGGAACUGCGUUUGGGAACUACAAGACUAGAGUGUGUCAGAGGGGGUGGAAUUCCGCGUGUAGCAGUGAAAUGCGUAGAGAUGCGGAGGAACACCGGAUGGCGAAGGGCAGCCCCCUGGGAGUAAACACUGACGCUCAUGCACGAAAGCUGGGGAGGCAAACAGGAUUAGAUACCCCGGUAGU